GUUUUUACAUUUAAUUUUCAGUUACCUCCUUCUCAUGAUUCCAUUAUCCCAUUUAACAUCCUCACAUAAAGUAUCAGUUACAAAAUAGAUGGGAGAGGCGUCAUGUUUUUUAUGCUCUAUAUGGAGAUUUUCUGAAGCCAACAAUCUAUGAGGUUGCCGAGCUAUCGACUAUAUGAAUGAAUGUAACUUUGUUGAAUGGGGCAAGUAGGGUCCUUCCUCAAAACAACCUUUCUUCAUUAAACCGAUUCCUUUCUUUUUGUUUUUUCUGCGUGAUAAAAAUGUAUAAACAUUUUCCUAUACUUUUCGAGCAUCUUAUGUUACAUACCUUCAUCAUGGUAUGAGUUUCUUAAAACAUCUCCUUUAUUA